rnacentral:misc_RNA from 1 species
GUAGGUGAACCUGCGGAAGGAUCAUUAUCAAUUACGUCUCUUAAGCUGUUUUUAUUAAUGGCUCGAGAUUUGUUUUUGUGCACUGUUUUUUUUCUUAAUGUUUCUUAUUUUCAAUUGUGCCCAAAUUGAUUUUUGGGUUCUUUUUGUGGUAAGGGGCUUUAAGAUGAAUUGAUUUUCUUAUUAUUUAUAUCUUUUUUUCAUUAUUUACUUGUAAUGGCUUUGCGCUAUUAUAAGUAAUUAAUUAAUUAAAAAAAAAGACAACUUUCAGCAAUGGAUCUCUUGGCUCUU